GCAGCCCAGUGGCUGUAGGCAGCUGGUGCUGCAGCUUCCGGGGCCGCUGCAGCUGGGCUGGGGUGAGUGCCGCGCCCUGCACCGUUUGUCAGCGCUCACCCCAGCCAAACGGUGCAGGGCGACAGGGGAACCGAUCCUUAUUUCUUACAUUAUAAAGUAGGUUUGCUUUAUACGAAUUCAAUUUAUGAGACAUUCUCUAAAGGGGUCGUGCUUUUCCACGACGGAGCGUCUGCAGUUAGCAAUGCACGAGCUGCACUUCUACAGAGCUAGAGAAGGAAAUACGAAAGAAGGAGGAGAGGAAAAAUUCUGGCAAGAGCUGGACUUCAGGGGGUUGUUUCAGCCCAGCACAGAACACCUACUAAAAAGUGUGUAUGUGGUCCGUAGUAGAGUUUCAGUGCACCUCAUCAAAGAUUAAUCUUUCCAAGCAUCAUCAAUCCCCAAGUCUUCCUGGUGUGCCAUGCAGUGCUGCUCGAACAGAUAUGGAAUAGACUGCUGAAGUACUGCAGCCACACCAUUGUGCUUUCCAAGCAUUACUGAAGCACCAUCGGAGGUAAACAUUACAGGCAGUCCUCGACUUACAACGUUUUGAGUUGCAAUGUUUCACACAGUGUUUAUAAACUGACAUCCUGUUUCAACUUCCUGAUGUUGGUUUUGACUUUACAAUGCUUGAUCUGAUGCGAGGCCGUGCCAGCGAACAAGUUCGCUGCGUCACCCAUCUCCCUGGAGAACAUCUGUCCAACAUCCUUGGACACUUUCAUUAAGAAGGCAGACAAGAUGCCAGAAAAACCUGCAGCCAAGACUCCUGAGAAGCCAAGAGCCCUUCAAAAAGUCCAGCAAAGUCACCUCAAAGAAGUUCUUCCAGAUCAAUAUGAUUGCUAUUUACAAUAUAAAUACACUAAUGUAGCUAUAUUACUCAUCUAUAACUGAUUGAGUACAAAAUUCUGGGGUAUUUUGGGUGAAAGUAUGGUAUCAGGCCUUGGUUCAGGAACCAAUCUCCCAUUUAUAACAUUGUUUCCUAUGGGGAAAAUCGAUUCCAAGUUACAACGUUCGACUUAAGACGCAGUUUUCAGGAACCAAUUGUGUUGUAAGUCUGAGGACUACCUGUACCAUCUUUUGCAUAGAUAAGUUGCUGUCAACAUAAAAUUGUCUAAUUGCUGCUAUAAUAGCACAGCUAUCACAAGCUGUCAGUUUUAAAAUCCCAGCAAACCUGGUCCGAUGAGUGAAAUCGUCCAUAGUUUGGAAUUUUAUAUACAGAAUUAUCAUUUUGCUAACAGAAAUAUCUGUGCUCUUGUCAACUAUCAAAGUGUGGAAUGGUGAUGUACGCAUUUCAUUCAGUACUUCUUGAUGAAUUACAGAAUUUAUGCAGUCAAUAAAUUCAAAUGUAUAAUUCUUAUUUCUCCAGCUUUCAGGAAUUUUAAAAUAUUUGCCAAUGUGACUGUGGAUUUCCUGCACUGAUAGCAUUGAUGAGUUUAAUUUCACUGCAAGGAGAACAUUAUCAAUUAAGAUUUUAACUUUGUCAGUGUUUGAUCACUUCCUUUCAAACAGUUCUAUUUUCCCCAUGUCUCGCAUGUUUCAGAAAAUAAACUUUCAGGAUUUCUCUG